rnacentral:tRNA from 1 species
AACAUGGUGGCGCAGCGGUAGCGCGCUCGGCUCAUAACCCAGAGGUCCUUGGUUCGAAUCCAAGCUAUGUUA